ACACAUCCCACAACCCUCAUGCAUAUCAUAGUUCAAGAAUCUCCAAAACACACACACACACACAUUGAAAAAUGAGGCAAAAUUUUGUGUUAAAAUCUCCAAAGAGAGAAGAGCAAACAGUUCCUGACUCGGUAAUAGCUGAAUUCUUCGAAAGCAACGACGAUAAUCUAUCUGAUUUCAAGGGUACUUGGGGAAUUAAAGAUGGAGGGAAUCAAACAGAAGGUAUUGUGAGUUCGACAUACGAAGAAUUCGAUUUGGAUUAUUUAAUGGAAUGGGAUGAAUUCUCAAUUGAUGAAGAGGAUCAAGGUUUGACAAAUGACAAGUCCGAAAAUCGAGAGGGUAAUAUGGUCAAUUUGAUUGGAAACAUAAAAAGAGAAAUUUGUGGGAUUUGGAAAGAGGAAGAAGAUGAAGAUCAAGAAGAUAAGGAGAAGAAUUCGUGUUUGAAUUUGAAUUUGAAUUUGAAUUACCAAGAAGUUAUGGAUGCAUGGUCCAAUCGCGGUCCAUGUUUGACAAAUGAUUUUACUCGUUCGACCUCCAAUGAUUAUUAUGUUAGUUGCUACAUUUUCAAAUUUCAUUUGCGUUUUAGUACUACCAAAAAAAAAAAGGCUUCAGAAACUUCCCAAAUUCUCAAAGCCAUAGAUGGGAGAGGUGCCGGUGAUGGAAGAAGCAAGAACAAAAAGAGAAGCAAGUGUUCUCAGAUACAGAAAGAAGCGUAAUAACAGAUUGUUUUCCAGAAAAAUAAGAUAUCAAGUUCGAAAGCUCAAUGCUGAUAAAAGACCAAGACUCAAGGGAAGAUUUGUGAAGAGGGAAUCAUGAGAAGAUACUAAAAAGGUGAUAGAGCAAAAUAUCUACAAACAAAUAUCUUGUGAAAUUGGUUGAUAUUUUCCACAUGGAGAUUGUGUAUUGUGUUUUUCAUAUGUGAUUAUGGAGAUAUCUCUAUUUUAUUGUGUGUAUAUUUAUUGAAAUGACAAAAAUAUAUUUCACAA